CAGCAGCCGCGGGAAUACGAAGGGUGCAAGCGUUGCUCGGAAUUACUGGGCGUAAAGGGAGCGUAGGCGGACAUUUAAGUCAGGGGUGAAAUCCCAGAGCUCAACUCUGGAACUGCCUUUGAUACUGGGUGUCUUGAGUGUGAUAGAGGUAUGUGGAACUCCGAGUGUAGAGGUGAAAUUCGUAGAUAUUCGGAAGAACACCAGUGGCGAAGGCGACAUACUGGAUCAUUACUGACGCUGAGGCUCGAAAGCGUGGGGAGCAAACAGGAUUAGAUACCCCGGUAGUCCCUGUCUCUUAUAA
rnacentral:rRNA from 1 species